rnacentral:rRNA from 1 species
UACGUAGGUGGCAAGCGUUGUCCGGAUUUAUUGGGCGUAAAGGGAACGCAGGCGGUCUUUUAAGUCUGAUGUGAAAGCCUUCGGCUUAACCGGGGAGGGUCAUUGGAAACUGGGAGACUUGAGUGCAGAAGAGGAGAGUGGAAUUCCAUGUGUAGCGGUGAAAUGCGUAGAUAUAUGGAGGAACACCAGUGGCGAAGGCGGCUCUCUGGUCUGUAACUGACGCUGAGGCUCGAAAGCGUGGGGAGCGAACAGG